rfam:Camelus ferus unplaced genomic scaffold scaffold668, whole genome shotgun sequence.
AUCUAUGGCCAUACUACCCUGAACACUCCCGAUCUUGUCUGAUCUCGGAAACUAAGCAGGGUCGGGCCUGGUUAGUACUUGGGUGGGUGACGUCAAGCUUGUGAACUAAUCUAGUAUAAAUA